UACGGGGGGAGCAAGCGUUGUUCGGAUUUACUGGGCGUAAAGGGCGCGUAGGCGGCCACCGCAAGUCGACUGUGAAAUCCCCGAGCUUAACUUGGGAAUUGCGCUCGAAACUACGGAGCUGGAGUGUGGCAGAGGAAGGUGGAAUUCCACGUGUAGCGGUGGAAUGCGCAGAUAUCAGGAGGAACACCGGUGGCGAAGGCGGGUCUCUGGGCAGUAACUGACGCUGAGGAGCGAAAGCGUGGGGAGCGAACAGG
rnacentral:rRNA from 1 species